rnacentral:lncRNA from 1 species
CGUUGGUUCUGUCCUUCUAACUUUAUGUGGCUUCCAGGGAUUGAAUUCAGGUCAACAAGAAGUAUGGUCAGGGCUAACCUGAUGCCUGUCCAGUAUUAUAGUAGGUGUUAUGCAGUGGGUGGAAGGAGAAGUUUUCUGCAGCAUCAGACAGACUAUGAGCUCUAAUGUGAGUUUGGAGAAAGAACCACAUGGCAUAACAGUCCCACUAGCCCUACGUUGUCUAAGGUUGCACCCUAAUCUCUUUUGAGACCAUCUCAAGAGCGGCAACCACUGAGAAUAUUGAGUACCUUCCAUCAAAAGCAAAGCCAAACAGUGCAUUGGCCCUGCCAGUUCCUCUAUUCCCUUCCAGAAGCCUCAGAGUACAGUGUAGGACAUGCCCCUGCCUAUGUGUUUGCAAGGAGUGACACCAUUCCUCUGGGUGACAGCCAUGAUGAAUUACAACAGGUGGUCCCAUUCUUAUUUUCUUUGGUGGAAUGAGAAGGAGCAGAUGAGGAAAUGUGCGCCUUUAUUUGAGAUUCUAAAACUACAUCUCUCAUUCAACAGCUUGUUUAAGGGAUAAAAAGUGCCAAGCCACCCUCUUUUCAAGUAUUCAAAAUUCCCUUGUCGCCUGAACAAUAGUUUAUAGAAAUCCCUUGCCCUUUGUGACUAUAGGCAAAACAAGCUGAAAUCUCUUGCAGUUUUGUGGUCUUUGUCUUGUUUUUAAGAUUUAAUCUUUAUUUUAUGUAUAUGACUGUUUGCCUAUAUGUAUGUAUAGACACCCUAGGUGUGCAGGUACCUUUGGAGGCCUGAAGGAAGCAAAAGUCAGAUCCCUGGGGACUAGCCAUUAUGUAAAUAUUGAAAACUGAACCCAGGUCUUUUGAAAGAGCAGCAAAUGUUCCUAACUACUGUUAUAUCUUUCUAGCCCCAUGAAGUCCCGUAAAUGUGGUCUGUCCCUUUGUAGACCAUACUACUCAAAAAUUUCUAACACAGAAGCUUUAAAUUAGAUUACAUUGUAAUUUAAUAUGGCAUGUGUGUGUGUGUGUGUGUGUGUGUGUGUGUGUGUGUGUGUAGGGGGCUUGGAGAGAAGAAUGUGCCAUAUGAGGCUUGUGCAGGUCAGAAGAAACUGUAAGAAUCUGACUGCUCCAUCUACCACAUGUUUCCUAGAGAUCUAACAAUGUAGGUCUUCAGGCAUGGUAGUGAGUGCAUUUAUCUUACUAGUCCUAGUACUACAAUCCUAGUGCUACACUGUGCUGCUCAGCUUCCAAACACACACUCCAACUUGGAUCUGCCUGCUUGCAGUGCCAGCUUUUUCCAAAUAGCAGGAAUGCUGUCUGUUCCUGUGGUCCUUGGCCAUUCACGUGCACUUAUUGUUUCUGCUCCUUCUUGGAGGGUCUGCUCUUGAGACCUAUAAAUGGCCUUGACAGAGAAGAGUUUUCUCCCUUUGUCCUCAGCUGUUGGAACCCUUGGAGGGAACAGAAUACUCCCACAUCCAUGCAAGUGUCAAAGAGGCUUUAACCCUUUGACAAUUGCUGGCUCUCUUAAUUUGUUUCUCUAACACCUGACUACCACUGGAUUUAAAGCCAAUUGUUAACUUGUUUCUACUGGUAUAUAGUGUCUCAUUUUACUAGUCCUGUGAAGUUUUAACACUUUAAGAACAUAGUCUCAAGAACAUUUAAAGCUACAUGUCUUUUUAUUACAGUUGCACUUAUUUCUGUAACUUGGAAAUGAGUUCUCAGUUUCAGAUGCCAUUUAGGCAUCCAGUGGCAUAAAAGUCCAGCUGUGCUUUGCCUCUUUUCCGAGACACAUAUGCCAUCCUAGCCUUUCUCAGCAUCCUUGUUUGUAAGUGGAAAGCCUACUUGAGGUUUUCAAGUGUGACACAGGAUCACUGUCAUUUUCUACAGGAAUAGUUUGCCUGGGCUGGAAAUAUCACCCUUCGUCAUUCAUCAGAGAGUGAGGCAGGCACCUAGGCUCUGCUGAUGUUAUAAAGAUCUUUUAAAGUCAAAUAAGGUUUAUCAAGAAGUUAUUUUUCAAGAAAUUCUGUGGAUGGGAAAAAUAAAUAUACCAAAAAAAUAGCAAUUUAAAAAAAAAAAAAUCUGAUUUACCAAGCUUCUUGCUUUGUUUUCUUUUGCUUUGUUUUCUAGUGACACAGUCAUUAAAUUCUAUUGGUUCACAAAUUGUCGACAUGUUGGCAUUUUUCUUUCCGUACAAAUAGGUUGAGUUGAUUUGUCUGUGAAGACUGUAAAAUUCUUUUACAAAAUAGAAAGAAAAUCUGCAACAGCUGAAAGCAAAUGGGAAAGGAGAGACACAACUUGCAACAUACAUUUCAGAGAGCUACAUUGUCUCAAGAAAAUUCUUGCUAACUAAUCAGAAAAACUGACAAGUAAUAAUCCAUGAAAAAUGAGCCAAGAACAUGCAUAGACAGUUCAUAAAGAUAAUAAAGAUGAGUGAAUCAAUUGUUUUCUCUGAAGUCCUGUGUGUUUUCACACUAUCUGAAAUCUGUGUUUGGGGAUGUGUGAAGCCAGGGUGAACCCUUUUGUCUACUCGCAGAUCUGUGUCACUCACUUGCUUGAGCCACUUAAAGUGGCCCCAAAGUGCUUGAGGUUUUUUUGGGUUUUGUUUUUGUUUUUUGAACUCCUUCCUUAGUUUAUAUAGAAGAUAAUAGAGUUGGCUUCCCAAACAGCCAUGUCAGUUCUCAUCUUCACAUUUUAGGUGACAGACACUGGAAAGCUAUGAAAAAAUGAGAGACAGAGUAAAGGUUUCAAUCAUUUCAUGCAGCUCAAAGGGCAGUGCUGCCAGAGGAACCCCAUGUUGCAAUGUGCUUUGCCCUUCCUGGGAUGCUGACAAGGACUGCAGCAUCCUGUCCAUCUCUGCUGUACUCCUGUAGCUCAGCAGGUGGUAAUGAGGCCUCUGGGUCCAGCUGCAUUGCUUCUGGCCUUGGGACAUCUGUGCUUGAUUCCUUGAUCACUCCCUAAAUAUCUCGCACUAAAUCGUUCUUCACUUAGGCCAGUUAGAGUGGACUUAAAAAGGAGAAGUGUAUUUUGGCACAGGGUAAACACAAGGGUCAGUAGGAAGAACAGAGGCCCAUUAACAAUCAAGCUAAGUCACACCCAGAGAAGUUCAUUAAUUUUAUGUUCUACUCUCUUCACUGCUAAAGAAGAACGUGUUUCUCAAUUAAAUCUAAAUUUGCUUUCAUGUCUCCCCAUCCAAAACUCAUAUAAUGCUGUUUUCUAAGUACUUAUUUCUUCAACCAA